rnacentral:lncRNA from 1 species
UUUGGAGAUGGUUUUACCGCUGAUUAAGCAAGAAAAAUUGGUUUAUGUUGAAGAUAUUGUUGAAGGAAUUGAAGCUGCACCAGCUGCUGUAGUUGGCCUCUUUUCCGGCCGAAAUGUAGGGAAGCAGGUUGUGCUUGUGGCGCCUACCUGAUCAACAUUAUUUAAUUUAGGGGUAAUUGUGUCUAAUUAGCAACUUUCACAAUUUGUUUGCAUGAACUAAAAACUUCGCUUCAAAUGCACAAAUAAUUUCAUUGCUCUAAUUUUUCACAUUGUCAAUUUCAAGGAAUCGACUAAUUCAAGUGACAUGGCUAAUAUAAUUGUGACUAGUGAAAAUGAUGAGUACAUCUAAUUUUAUAUUUUAUUAUAUCAGCCAUGUAGAUAUUUCAAACGUCAAUUGACAAUCGUAUGAAAAAUCGGAACAAUUUUGAGAUUUAAAAAAAAAAAUUAUAAAAGGUAUCUAUUAUAUAAUCAAAUAGUCAAAUAAGUCAUCCGUGACAUUUACACCAUACAANAAAGUAAUAUUGGAUGAGGGGGUAAAUGAGUUGGAGUGUCUGAUGGGGUUCGAUAGUACAUGGCAUGAAUUAAAAUGUAUGGGUAGAAUGAAGAAUCUCCGACGUUUUAAUGCACGCAUACACGACAAUGAAAGCUUGUCAGCUAUCAUGAAUGCCAUUGCUACCAACUGGAACAAGUUGGUGUUUUGUGUGGUUUAUAUCGAAGAGGGUUGCGAGUUAACAACAAGUGAGCAAGUGUUGAAGAAGGCAUUGACAUGUCCCAAUCUUCAUUUCUUGUCAAUUAAAGUUAAGUUAGGGAAGGCGCUGGCUGAGUGCGGGCGUGAUUUCAUGAGCUCAAAACUUACGAAGUUGUACUUAUUAGCAUGUGAGAUUGAGGAUGAUCCAAUGGGGAUACUGGGAAAGCUUCCUUGUUUGACACAAUUGUGUUUAUUCCCGAAAUCAUUUGUUGGGGAGGAGAUGACGUGUCCAUCAAAUAGUUUUCCUCGCCUCAAGAAGCUUUUUCUAUGUCAGUUACCAAAGUUAAGGAAGUGGAGAGUGGAGGCAGGAGCCAUGCCCCUUCUCUCUCAAUUACUGAUCCAUUAUUGUUCUAGUCUGCAGAAGCUUCCAAGUGGAUUGAGUUUCAUUUCUACUCUUCAGAAACUCACAAUUAAUGGAAUGCCGGAAUUGGGAAAGAGGGUAUCACCAUCAGGAGAGGAUUUCCACAAAGUUCGCCAUGUCCCUUCAAUUAUCAUAUAAAACUAAGGUAUCUCAUUUCUCGUAUUUUCAAUUAUAGUUUUUAUAGUACUAAAUUUUCCCAUGCAACAUCAUAUUUUAAUACAUAGGCGAAUUAAGCAAAUUGUUAAGUUAAUUAUAUCAUAUUUCGCAUUGCUAAUUGAUAAAGAGUGAUAAAAGUCUGGGUUGAGGAAUCAGAACAAUCAAAUUUAAUCAAGUGAUCUAAGCAUUCUUUUGAUGCAGCAAUAUACUUUUUAUAUAUCUAUAUAAUCAUAGUACUAUUUUGUUAAAGGUGGAUCUUUCAAAGAGGAAAUUUGGGUUUGACGAUGCGUUCAACUACAAAGAAGAAGCUGAUUUAAAUGCAGCCCUAAAGAGGCAAAUGCAUGUUGUGGACCUUGUGGUUAGAAGUGUUCAUCCAGAAUCGAAACCGUCGAAUCGGCCCGAACCGGAACCGUAGUCAUCGUCUUCGACUACUACCACCUCUAUCCCAAGUAUUUGGAGAUGGUUUUACAGCUGAUUAAGCAAGAAAAAUUGGCUUAUGUUGAAGAUAUUGUUGAAGGAAUUGAAGCUGCACCAGCUGCUUUAGUUGGCCUCUUUUCCGGCCGAAAUGUAGGGAAGCAAGUUGUGCUUGUGGCGCCUACCUGAUCAACAUUUAUUUUAAUUUAGGGGUAAUUGUGUCUAAUUAUGCAAACUUUCACCGAAUAUUUGUUUUGCGUAUGAACUAAAAACUUCGCCUUCAAAUGCACAAAUUUUCAAUUUCUCUAAUUUUUCAUACUAUUGUCAAUUUUCAAGGAAUUGUGACUAGCUCAAGUGACAAACUAAUAUCAUUGUGACUAA